UAAAUUUUCAAACAGAAUUGUGUGUAUAC
rnacentral:piRNA from 1 species